GUACAAAGAAUGACAAAACUCUCUUAAGGCCACUUGGUUUCUCAGAUUCUCAAAGGGAAGAAAUAAUGGAUAUUAUUUAAUAACAGAAUUUCUAGGCUUAGGGCUGUGCGUUUGUGAGGAGCCCCAAUUCAUAUUUCCAUGGACCAAAAGGGCCCCUUUCCCACCAACGUGUGAAGCAAUGGGAGGUGAGACCUCACCUUAAACACCAAGUAUGUUCUCUGAUCCAGCAUAAAAAAGGCCCUUGAAAUCCUUUUCCCCAGACCGCCACACAUGUUGGUGGAAGGUCUCUCCUUUACUCGAUGCUCAAACUGUCGAGUCCCUCGCUGCAUGACCUGCUCCUCCUCUUCUGCUGAGGCCAAAAUGUGUCAAAUGGACAGAUGGCUCUGCCAGAGAUAGUCAGAUUUUGUCAAAUCAAGAAAAUUAAAGCCAGGCCCUGUCAUAAAAACACAGCUUAUGGGUCUGCCGGAUGCACCAGCGAAACCGGUCUCGUUCACAGCUGCACUCCCUCCUGGCAUUUCAACGUUGGCCAAAUGUUGAUUCGAAGCAUAACUGACUCAGAAAUCUCGCAGGCAACCUCUGCUUCAGCCGACACAGCCGACUGCUUUUGGGGAUCUAGGUAAUUAUUCAUUUGACCUUGAAGUUUUGACGACUUUUAUUUGUUAUGAGCCCAUGAAUUCAAGAUCCAGAAAAAUGGUCAUUACCCUUACACUGCAUUCAAGCACAUUAUAGAAACAGAAGCGGUGGUAAAUAUAACACACCAAAAGUUACGGGCUUGCUACUGAAGGGGCCCAGACAGCAUCAG
rnacentral:lncRNA from 1 species